AUAAACCUUGGCAGCAGAGAAGCUGGAAGAAAGCAUCACGUCACUCCAAAUCUGUGGCGAUCACUAUGAUGACAAUGAAACCCAGAGAAGACAGUAACUGGUCAAGGUCAUUCUUCUGGUUAGUCAACCCAGCCCAGUUGCCAUGGGAAAGCAUAUGUUAGCUGCCGAAAACCUAAAACAGAUCUUGGAUGUUAAGCAGGUCCAUGCCAGGUCAGGAAUGGCUUCCCCUGAGGAGGAUCUUCACUCUGGGACCAGAGUAGCAGAACAGCCCAUUUGGGACCUUCCUGGUUGAUGCAGAAGUAGAGAGGUCACGACAAAGCAAAUACUGGCUCAUAAAGCUUCUGCUUGGAAGGCAUAGGUUUAGCCUGUGUCCAAGGACCAGAAAAUAUGAUUGUUCAGAAAGAAGGGGUUGUCUGAAGAGAAAGGCAGCAAGUAAUUUGAACAAGAAUAUAGUCCAUCACAGUGAUGUGGGUGAAAGUUCUUAGUUUUCAGUGGAACACCAUCAAAUGCAAAUUGUUCUUUCUGUCCAUGUUAGUGCUUAACAGAAUAACCAUUUUAGAGUUGUCAAUCAAUGUAGUCCCUGUGCCAGAUAUAAUGAUGAUUUUCCUGGGCGCCUGGGUGGCUCAAUUAAUUAAAUGUCCCACUUUUGAUUUUGGCU